rnacentral:rRNA from 1 species
GAUGAACGCUGGCGGCGUGCCUAAUACAUGCAAGUCGAGCGAACGGACGAGAAGCUUGCUUUUCUGAUGUUAGCGGCGGACGGGUGAGUAACACGUGGAUAACCUACCUAUAAGACUGGGAUAACUUCGGGAAACCGGAGCUAAUACCGGAUAAUAUUUUGAACCGCAUGGUUCAAUAGUGAAAGACGGUCUUGCUGUCACUUAUAGAUGGAUCCGCGCUGCAUUAGCUAGUUGGUAAGGUAACGGCUUACCAAGGCAACGAUGCAUAGCCGACCUGAGAGGGUGGUAGGCCACACGUGAACUGAGACCCUGUCCUGACUCCACCGGCCGGCAGCAGGUGGGAAUCUUCACCAUGGGCGGAAGCCUGACGGAGCAACGCCGCGUGAGUGAUGAAGGUCUUCGGAUCGUAAAACUCUGUUAUUAUGGAAGAACAUAUGUGUAAGUAACUGUGCACAUCUUGACGGUACCUAAUCAGAAAGCCACGGCUAACUACGUG